UCGGACAUGGUGCACGGUACACGCCCGCUCACAUUUGCCAUUCUUGGGGUAAAAAUAUGAAGCGGGAGGCCUGGGUUCGACUCCCGGUGUUCGGA